AUACGGGGGGUGCAAGCGUUAUUCGGAUUUAUUGGGCGUAAAGAGCGCGCAGGCGGCUUGGUAAGUCAGAUGUGAAAGCCCGGGGCUCAACCCCGGAAGUGCAUUUGAAACUAUCAGGCUUGAGUAUGGGAGAGGGAAGUGGAAUUCCUGGUGUAGAGGUGAAAUUCGUAGAUAUCAGGAGGAACACCGGUGGCGAAGGCGACUUCCUGGACCAAUACUGACGCUGAGGCGCGAAGGCGUGGGGAGCAAACAGGAUUAGAUACCCCAGUAGUCC
rnacentral:rRNA from 1 species